GGUCCAUAUGGGGCCAGGACCCUCCAUAUAGGAUUGGGGGGGAUCAGGACCCUCCAUAUGGGAUUGGGGGGACCAGGACCCUCUUUAUGGGAUUGGGGGUGUCCAUACAGAGCUGGGACCACCCUUUUGGGACCA